rnacentral:tRNA from 2 species
GCCCAGGUAGCUCAGCUGGUAGAGCAGGGGACUGAAAAUCCCCGUGUCGGUGGUUCGAUUCCGCCCCUGGGCACCA